rnacentral:rRNA from 1 species
UACGGGGGGGGCAAGCGUUGUUCGGAAUUACUGGGCGUAAAGGGCUCGUAGGCGGCCAACUAAGUCAAACGUGAAAUCCCUCGGCUUAACCGGGGAACUGCCUUUGAUACUGAAGAUCUUGAGUCCGGGAGAGGUGAGUGGAACUGCGAGUGUAGAGGUGAAAUUCGUAGAUAUUAGGAAGAACACCAGUGGCGAAGGCGGCUCACUGGCCCGGUACUGACGCUGAGGCGCGAAAGCGUGGGGAGCAAACAGG